rnacentral:lncRNA from 1 species
UGCAAAAGGUAUCCUUCCAGCCCAUAACAUUUUGGCGCCCAACAUUUUUGGCUCUCCUGAAAGCUACUCCUAUACUCCUGAUCAUCUAUGAGGACAGAGCUUCUCAGGUGCUGACUCUCCCCUUGUGACCUGUCUAUCCAUCAUGGGAAGCAGUCGCUGGACAUCCCUCACAUCUCCAAGCAGUUGCUUCUAGGGUGAAAGUACUCAUGGGAAUCACCCAGAUGCCAGAUGCCACCAUAACCUCCCAGCCUGAUGCUCUGGAUAUGGCCUACAGU